rnacentral:rRNA from 1 species
CCUACGGGAGGCAGCAGUGAGGAAUAUUGGUCAAUGGGCGGAAGCCUGAACCAGCCAAGUCGCGUGAGGGAAUAAGGCCCUACGGGUCGUAAACCUCUUUUGCCGGGGAGCAAGGGCCGGGACGAGUCCCGGUCCGGAGAGUACCCGGAGACAAAGCAUCGGCUAACUCCGUGCCAGCAGCCGCGGUAAUACGGAGGAUGCUAGCGUUAUCCGGAUUUAUUGGGUUUAAAGGGUGCGUAGGCGGGCUUUUAAGUCAGCGGUAAAAAUUCGGGGCUCAACCCCGGCCGGCCGUUGAAACUGGGGGCCUUGAGUGGGCGAGAAGAAGGCGGAAUGCGUGGUGUAGCGGUGAAAUGCAUAGAUAUCACGCAGAACCCCGAUUGCGAAGGCAGCCUUCCGGCGCCCGACUGACGCUGAGGCACGAAAGUGCGGGGAUCGAACAGGAUUAGAUACCCCAGUAGUC